rnacentral:piRNA from 1 species
UUAAAGAUAUUUGGUAAGUGACU